rnacentral:rRNA from 1 species
GACGAACGCUGGCGGCGUGCUUAACACAUGCAAGUCGAACGGAAAGGCCCUGCUUGCAGGGUACUCGAGUGGCGAACGGGUGAGUAACACGUGGGUGAUCUGCCCUGCACUUCGGGAUAAGCCUGGGAAACUGGGUCUAAUACCGGAUAGGAGCCAUUUUUAGUGUGAUGGUUGGAAAGUUUUUUCGGUGUAGGAUGAGCUCGCGGCCUAUCAGCUUGUUGGUGGGGUAAUGGCCUACCAAGGCGGCGACGGGUAGCCGGCCUGAGAGGGUGGACGGCCACAUUGGGACUGAGAGACGGCCCAGACUCCGACGGGAGGCAGCAGUGGGGAAGAUUGCACAAUGGGCGCAAGCCUGAUGCAGCGACGCCGCGUGGGGGAUGACGGCCUUCGGGUUGUAAACUCCUUUCGCUAGGGACGAAGCUUUUUGUGACGGUACCUAGAGAAGAAGCACCGGCUAACUACGUG